rnacentral:lncRNA from 1 species
GCUAGAGUAGAACAUUUGUGCUGGCCAGAUUCAAGCCCACGAAGCCUGCUUCUAGAUCUGUGCUCUUAGCCACCUUACCACCGAAGAGAAUUCCAGACAAGUUUCUCAGAGAGGGCUCCUUGGAAAGACAUCUGGAGGGGAUUCCAAGUAGCAAAAAAGGACCUGGACUUGGAGACAAGCCCCACAGAAAGGACGGGAAGGCAGGGAGUCUUCAGUGGAACAGCAGACUCUACUGCUGCCCCUGGGAUCUGGUUCUCUUCUGCUUCUGGACACAGGAAGGAUGGAGGUUGCUACCAGGCCAAUGGAACGUCUUUGUGCUAGAGUUGCC